CUUUACUCACAACAUAACACUUUAUUCUCCUCUGUUCCAGCGCCCUCUAACGACAGACACUUGUAACAACAAUAUUUUAUAUUACACAUUGGACUCGGCGGCUUCCGUAUGUUUCACGCCAGCUUCAUCUCAGUCACUAUAUAAUCAGACCGCUGGGGGGCGCUCAGGUUCAGAUUUGAGGAAGAGCAACGGCGGCAAGCACCUGAACACAGUGUGAAUCACCGUCAGGAGAUUAAAAUGAGUGGAAAUGUUUCCGUGUGUGAGAAACCGCUAUGCUAAUGGCGCGCACACAAAUCACCUCAGAACAGAGUAACAGAGGACUGAGGUUUCUGUGGGAAAAAACGUGUAAUUUAACACGUGAUUUUGUAUCCUGGACUCGUUCAUGUCUCUACAGAGUAUUUUAUAUUAUUAAUGUGUUUACUGGGUUUGUAUUAAUAAAAACAUCACAUUAAACCAUGUUCAACUUUU